GAUGAACACUGGCGGCGUGCUUAACACAUGCAAGUCGAACGGAAAGGCUCCUGCUUGCAGGGGUACUCGAGUGGCGAACGGGUGAGUAACACGUGGGUGAUCUGCCCUGCACUUCGGGAUAAGCCUGGGAAACUGGGUCUAAUACCGGAUAGGACGAUGGUUUGGAUGCCAUUGUGGAAAGUUUUUUCGGUGUGGGAUGAGCUCGCGGCCUAUCAGCUUGUUGGUGGGGUAAUGGCCUACCAAGGCGUCGACGGGUAGCCGGCCUGAGAGGGUGUACGGCCACAUUGGGACUGAGAUACGGCCCAGACUCCUACGGGAGGCAGCAGUGGGGAAUAUUGCACAAUGGGCGCAAGCCUGAUGCAGCGACGCCGCGUGGGGGAUGACGGCCUUCGGGUUGUAAACUCCUUUCGCUAGGGACGAAGCGCAAGUGACGGUACCUGGAGAAGAAGCACCGGCUAACUACGUG
rnacentral:rRNA from 1 species